ACAAAAGCGAUGAUAAGAACGAGUACCUGUGACUGAAGCAUACAGAAAGCGGCCGGUUGAUGAGAGGCGCAUGCGGUGUCUGGGGAAAUACCUCUUUGAGCUGUGUACCGAACCUUCAGUAGGCUACACCGGAGUUGCAUCCGUAAUCCAUGCAGAAGUAUCGCUUCGGCCGUACUUUCCAAGGGAAGCUGUGCGAGCAGCUUCCGAACUAAGGUGGUAACACGCAUAUCCGCGUCCUUUAG
rnacentral:ncRNA from 1 species